UACGUAGGGUGCAAGCGUUGUCCGGAAUUAUUGGGCGUAAAGAGCUCGUAGGCGGUUUGUUGCGUCGGCUGUGAAAUCCCGAGGCUCAACCUCGGGUCUGCAGUCGAUACGAGCAAACUAGAGUGUUGCAGGGGAGACUGGAAUUCCUGGUGUAGCGGUGAAAUGCGUAGAUAUCUGGAGGAACACCGGUGGCGAAGGCGGGUCUCUGGGCCGAUACUGACGCUGAGGAGCGAAAGCGUGGGGAGCGAACAGG
rnacentral:rRNA from 1 species